rnacentral:rRNA from 1 species
GGACCCGCACAAGCGGUGGAGCAUGUGGUUUAAUUCGACGCAACGCGAAGAACCUUACCAGCUCUUGACAUCUUCUGUUCACUCUAGAGAUAGAGCUUCCCCUUCGGGGGCAGAAUGACAGGUGGUGCAUGGUUGUCGUCAGCUCGUGUCGUGAGAUGUUGGGUUAAGUCCCAUAACGAGCGCAACCCUUAUUGUUAGUUGCCAGCAUUCAGUUGGGCACUCUAGCGAGACUGCCGGUGAUAAACCGGAGGAAGGUGGGGAUGACGUCAAAUCAUCAUGCCCCUUAUGAGCUGGGCUACACACGUGCUACAAUGGACGGUACAACGGGUAGCGAGGGCGCGAGCCUUAGCAAAUCCUAAUAAGCCGUUCUCAGUUCGGAUUGUUCUCUGCAACUCGAGAGCAUGAAGCCGGAAUCGCUAGUAAUCGCGGAUCAGAAUGCCGCGGUGAAUACGUUCCCGGGUCUU